CCUACGGGGGGCUGCAGUUAGGAAUAUUCGUCAAUGGGGGAAACCCUGAACGAGCAAUGCCGCGUGAGUGAUGAAGGUCUUAUUGAUCGUAAAACUCUGUUAUAAGAGACGAAACCACAGUAUAGGAAAUGAUAUUGUGCUGACGGUAUCUUAUCAGAAAGCCCCGGCUAACUACGUGCCAGCAGCCGCGGUAAUACGUAGGGGGCGAGCGUUAUCCGGAUUUAUUGGGUGUAAAGGGUGCGUAGGCGGUUUGUUAAGUCUAAAAUCAAAGUCCG
rnacentral:rRNA from 1 species